rnacentral:antisense_RNA from 1 species
CUUGACCGACCCCAACCACACCGGCCGAUCCGCCGGACGGUCUUGCCCAUAAGUGGCCACAAUGGCGUGGGCCUC